ACUCGACCGCAUCCGAUCUUUUGCUUCGUCCCCGUCUCGGCCAGGCCAUAUCCAUCCUCUUCCCCUUCCGCGGUUAGCGAUCACCAGUAGAAAGACAAGGAGGAAGAAGAGGAAAGAGAUUGGAACUUUACGCAGCGAGGGAAUCAAGAAUUCGAUAAAACCAUGAGCACCCCGAGGAAGCACCCAUCGUCGUCGGACGCCGCCGUCUUGAUCCAGCCCUCGUCCCCUCGCUACACUCCCUCGGGGACGCCGACCGCCGGGGCCCACCGCAAGAUCGGCAUCGCCGUCGACCUCAGCGACGAGAGCGCCUACGCCGUCCGGUGGGCCGUGCAGAACUACCUCCGCCCCGGGGACGCCGUCAUCCUCGUCCACGUCAGCCCCACCUCCGUCCUCUACGGCGCCGACUGGGGCUCCAUCGAUCUCUCCUUUCACGAUGGCGCCGUCGGCGUCGAAACGGAGGAGUCCCAGAAGCGGAAGCUCGAGGACGAGUUCGACGCCUUCACGACGGCCAAGGCCAACGAUCUGGCGCAGCCCCUCGUGGACGCCCAGAUACCCUUCAAGAUCCACAUAGUGAAGGACCACGACAUGAAGGAGAGGCUGUGCCUGGAGGUGGAGAGGCUUGGCCUGAGCGCCGUCGUCAUGGGGAGUCGCGGGUUUGGCGCAGUGCGGAAGAACGCCAAGGGGAGGCUCGGGAGCGUGAGUGAUUACUGCGUGCAUCACUGUGUUUUGCCUGUGAUUGUUGUCAGGUUCCCUAGUGACAAGGACAAAAAUGGCGGCGGCAGUGAUAAACUGGGCAGCCCGGCAACUCGGGGCAGUCGCCGUGGGUCUUACUCGGGCCUGCCCGAGGAGGAGCCGGAGUAUCAUGAUGCAUCUGAUAAGCAGAGUGGGAGGACGGUGUAGGAUUAUCAGUGUGGAAUGCAUAGAAUCAGAGAACCAGCUGGAACUGCUUAGUGAAAGUAUGCUCUGAGAUGGACAAGGCUGCUUGAGUGGAGCUUGCUGCAAUGCUUCGACCGUUGAAGAGUCGCAAGGUUUAAGCUUGAUGUUUUGUGUAAAUGCGGUUAUCGCUCUGAGUCUGUUUCCUCCACCUUUUGGCUGUCUGUUUAUAUUUCCACUUAUGCAGCUGUGACGAAGAUUUUUUCGGUUCAUAUUGAGAUUCUUUACCUUUCUAGACAUAGUUGCGGUUAUCUUUUCAACUUCUUAAGGUAAUAAUGCUGAAAAUCCUUGAACCCUUUUGCCUCUU